rnacentral:rRNA from 1 species
UGGGGAAUAUUGGACAAUGGGCGAAAGCCUGAUCCAGCAAUGCCGCGUGYGUGAAGAAGGCCUGAGGGUUGUAAAGCACUUUCAAUGGGAAGGAAAAAAGUCGGGCUAAUACCCCGAUUCUUGACAUUACCUAUAGAAGAAGCACCGGCUAACUCCGUG